AGCAGCCGCGGUAAUUCCAGCUCCAAUAGCGUAUAUUAAAGUUGUUGCAGUUAAAAAGCUCGUAGUUGAAUUUCGGGAUCAAUACGUCGGUCGUGCUUAGGUACGUACUGGCGUAAUUGAUUUCUCCCUUCUGACGAACCAUGAUGUCAUUAACUUGGUGUCAUGGGAAAUCAGGACUGUUACUUUGAAAAAAUUGAGUGUUUAAAGCAGGCUCACGCUUGAAUACAUUAGCAUGGAAUAAUGAAAUAGGACGUUCGAUCCUAUUUUGUUGGUUUUUAGGAUCAACGUAAUGAUUAAUAGGGAUAGUUGGGGGCAUUAGUAUUCAAUUGUCAGAGGUGAAAUUCUUGGAUUUAUUGAAGACUAACUACUGCGAAAGCAUUUGCCAAGGAUGUUUUCAUUAAUCAAGAACGAAAGUUAGGGAUCGAAGACGAUCAGAUACCGUCGUAGUCUUAACCAUAAACUAUGCCGACUAGGGAUCGGAUGAUGUUAAUUUUUANGUACUCAUUCGGCNCCUUAAC
rnacentral:rRNA from 1 species